AGGGAUUUAGCUUAGCAGCAUAAGCGCCUGCCUCGCAAGCAUGAGGUUCUGAGUUCAAUCCCUG
rnacentral:tRNA from 1 species